rnacentral:rRNA from 1 species
UAGGGAAUCUUCCGCAAUGGACGCAAGUCUGACGGAGCAACGCCGCGUGAGUGAAGAAGGAUUUCGGUUCGUAAAACUCUGUUGUUAGAGAAGAACAGCGCAUAGAGUAACUGUUAUGCGUGUGACGGUAUCUAACCAGAAAGCCACGGCUAACUACGUGCCAGCAGCCGCGGUAAUACGUAGGUGGCAAGCGUUUUCCGGAUUUAUUGGGCGUAAAGCGAGCGCAGGCGGUCAAUUAAGUCUGAUGUGAAAGCCCCCGGCUCAACCGGGGAGGGUCAUUGGAAACUGGUUGACUUGAGUGCAGAAGAGGAGAGUGGAAUUCCAUGUGUAGCGGUGAAAUGCGUAGAUAUAUGGAGGAACACCAGUGGCGAAGGCGACUCUCUGGUCUGUAACUGACGCUGAGGCUAGAAAGCGUGGGUAGCAAACAGG